rnacentral:rRNA from 1 species
ACGGGAGGCAGCAGUGGGGAAUAUUGGACAAUGGGCGAAAGCCUGAUCCAGCGACGCCGCGUGAGUGAAGAAGUAUUUCGGUAUGUAAAGCUCUAUCAGCAGGGAAGAUAAUGACGGUACCUGACUAAGAAGCCCCGGCUAACUACGUGCCAGCAGCCGCGGUAAUACGUAGGGGGCAAGCGUUAUCCGGAUUUAUUGGGUUUAAAGGGUGCGCAGGCGGGCUGGUAAGUCAGCGGUGAAAUGUCGGGGCUCAACCCCGGCAGUGCCGUUGAUACUGUCGGUCUUGAGUGCGGUGAAGGCAGGCGGAAUGCAGUGUGUAGCGGUGAAAUGCGUAGAUAUGCUGCAGAACUCCGAUAGCGAAGGCAGCUUGCCGUACCUGCACUGACGCUCAUGCACGAAAGCGUGGGGAUCAAACAGGAUUAGAUACCCUGGUA